rnacentral:rRNA from 1 species
CACUCCUGCGGAGGCAGCAGUGGGGAAUAUUGGACAAUGGGCGCAAGCCUGAUCCAGCCAUGCCGCGUGAGUGAUGAAGGCCCUAGGGUUGUAAAGCUCUUUCACCGGUGAAGAUAAUGACGGUAACCGGAGAAGAAGCCCCGGCUAACUUCGUGCCAGCAGCCGCGGUAAUACGAAGGGGGCUAGCGUUGUUCGGAUUUACUGGGCGUAAAGCGCACGUAGGCGGACUAUUAAGUCAGGGGUGAAAUCCCGGGGCUCAACCCCGGAACUGCCUUUGAUACUGGUAGUCUUGAGUUCGAGAGAGGUGAGUGGAAUUCCGAGUGUAGAGGUGAAAUUCGUAGAUAUUCGGAGGAACACCAGUGGCGAAGGCGGCUCACUGGCUCGAUACUGACGCUGAGGUGCGAAAGCGUGGGGAGCAAACAGGAUUAGAUACCCCGGUAGUCC